rnacentral:rRNA from 1 species
UACGUAGGGCGCAAGCGUUGUCCGGAAUAUUGGGCGUAAAGAGCUCGUAGGCGGCCUGUUACGUCUGCUGUGAAAUCCCGGGGCUUAACCCCGGGCGUGCAGUGGAUACGGGCAGGCUGGAGGCAGGCAGGGGAGAACGGAAUUCCCGGUGUAGCGGUGAAAUGCGCAGAUGUACGGGAGGAACACCGGUGGCGAAAGGCGGUUCUCUGGGCCUGUACUGACGGCUGAGGAGCGAAAGCG